CGAAAGCCUGACGGAGCAAUACCGCGUGAGGGAAGACUGCCUAUGGGUUGUAAACCUCUUUUUUCAGGGAGGAAUAAAAUGACGUGUACCUGAAGAAUAAGCAUCGGCUAACUCCGUGCCAGCAGCCGCGGUAAGACGGAGGAUGCAAGCGUUAUCCGGAAUCAUUGGGCGUAAAGCGUUCGUAGGUGGUCUUGCAAGUCUGCUGUUAAAUCCGAGGGCUUAACCCUUGUUCGGCGGUGGAAACUACAAGACUAGAGGGCGGUAGGGGCAGAGGGAAUUCCCGGUGUAGCGGUGAAAUGCGUAGAGCUCGGGAAGAACUCCGAUGGCGAAAGCACUCUGCUGGGCCGUGCCUGACACUCAUGGACGAAAGCUAGGGGAGCA
rnacentral:rRNA from 1 species